rnacentral:rRNA from 1 species
UACGGAGGGAGCUAGCGUUAUUCGGAAUUACUGGGCGUAAAGCGCACGUAGGCGGCUUUGCAAGUUAGAGGUGAAAGCCUGGAGCUCAACUCCAGAACUGCCUUUAAAACUGCAUCGCUUGAAUCCAGGAGAGGUGAGUGGAAUUCCGAAGUGUAGAGGUGAAAUUCGUAGAUAUUCGGAAGAACACCAGUGGCGAAGGGCGGCUCACUGGA